rnacentral:rRNA from 4 species
UUCUAUGACGUUAGCGGCGGACGGGUGAGUAACACGUGGGCAACCUGCCUGUAAGACUGGGAUACUUCGGGAACCGAAGCUAAUACCGGAUAGGAUCUUCUCCUUCAUGGGAGAUGAUUGAAAGAUGGUUUCGGCUAUCACUUACAGAUGGGCCCGCGGUGCAUUAGCUAGUUGGUGAGGUAACGGCUCACCAAGGCAACGAUGCAUAGCCGACCUGAGAGGGUGAUCGGCCACACUGGGACUGAGACACGGCCCAGACUCCUACGGGAGGCAGCAGUAGGGAAUCUUCCGCAAUGGACGAAAGUCUGACGGAGCAACGCCGCGUGAGUGAUGAAGGCUUUCGGGUCGUAAAACUCUGUUGUUAGGGAAGAACAAGUACGAGAGUAACUGCUCGUACCUUGACGGUACCUAACCAGAAAGCCACGGCUAACUACGUGCCAGCAGCCGCGGUAAUACGUAGGUGGCAAGCGUUAUCCGGAAUUAUUGGGCGUAAAGCGCGCGCAGGCGGUUUCUUAAGUCUGAUGUGAAAGCCCACGGCUCAACCGUGGAGGGUCAUUGGAAACUGGGGAACUUGAGUGCAGAAGAGAAAAGCGGAAUUCCACGUGUAGCGGUGAAAUGCGUAGAGAUGUGGAGGAACACCAGUGGCGAAGGCGGCUUUUUGGUCUGUAACUGACGCUGAGGCGCG